CAAAAACGGAGAUAAACGGGCCAAAAACCCUUUAAUACAAACCCAAAAUGAAACAUCAGCAAGGUGAAGACACAAUGAGUAUAUUUAUAAAUGGGUGGAGAAGGCCAUAAUUACAUAUUUAUAAAUGGGUGGGGAAGACCAUAAUUAACACAAAAUGUCUCUCCUGCAUGCAGAAUUAGCGAUAUGCAAAUCUCCCUGAAUAUGCAAAUUACCAGUGCCCUCUGUUGCUACCAACAGAGGGCACUACACAAGCUCCAUAGCCAAAUCCACCUAGUUGGUAGCAAUCCUCAGCAGUACAGGAGAGCAGGCAAUACAUCCCAGGGGCCAUAGUCACAUGGCAGGAGGCUGGCAAUCAGUCUUCACCAAUGCCCAGUGGCGAGGCUGGUUCCGCCACACGCUCCUACCACCCAAACAAGCAAAAGCGGUGGAGAUCGAAGGGUUGUUCCGCAUACCCAAACCGGUUAAGGCCCCGGCAGAUGCACCACGAGACCAGAUCAUCCGGUCUCAAGAGGAGCAAAGAUAAAACCGCAGUCCUCAACGCAGUGCGCAAUCACUCUCCAUACUCCUUCGAGAGAAUGGCGCUGUCCUUCUACACAGAUCUAUCGGGGAACACACUCACAUGGCACCGCUCUCUCCAGCCCUUUACGGCCCUCCUGAGGGCAAACAACAUCCGUAUAGAUGGAGAGCGCCACACACACUGCAGGUACAAUAUGGCGAUGCUGCACAUCCAGUACAUGACAUACAGGGAGCAAGGGGACUUCUGCCGGUGUUGGGGCCUCUCUGGGGACUCAAUGGCUAACGGAGGAUCGAGCGCUACCACCAAUGCCUACUACCCGUCCAUUUGUUCCACGGGAGCCGGGGAGGGAACCCCAGACAACAAACACCACCUGAGGCAACUCAGACAGCUGGCAGAGAAACCCUGCCCUUCCCAACCUUUUUCUCACUGGCCUAUUACCAUCACCACGGACUACCUACUCUCCUAAACUCGAUAAGUAAACUUUGUUAUUGACUUAACCUACCCUUUUCACCCCUGCCUCCUUUUACCCGAGAGAAGCGCAGCAGCCGACACCAGACAUGGAAAAUGGGACUAAAGACUCUCACACCACGCAGCUUCAUAGGGCUGUACAAACCGGCAGGACUGUCUCAAACUUGAAUGAGCUAUAGAAUUUUAUUUAUUUUGCCUAUUUUAAGUUUCUCCUCCCAUUUGUCUCUUCUCUAUACACCCAGUUUGACACAUAGGGAAGCCCCCAAUGGACAUCCCACACUAAACAUAACCGACAGACCAAGCAGACCACAACCCCUCAUACUCCCCCCGCACACUCAGGAGAACAUGAGAGUACAGAACAUUUACCCACAUAAUGCCUGGGGCUAACCAGACAGUCCCAAGCGUUUGAGACACACAUACUCUCCUCGGCAGACCAAACAUGUUUAAUGUUUUAAAAAGUUCAGCAUAUAUUAGGUAGAAGCACCAGCACUCCACCAUAGAUCACACCUAGCCACCGACAGCAUCCUCCAGACUCAAUCUAGAUAUCUUACUAUCUUAUUGCUAGCACGAAUGACAAGCAUUCAUUCCAUGCACAAACUCUAUUUGUUAACUGUUAU